rnacentral:rRNA from 1 species
UCCGUAGGCGGUGCGGCAAGUCGGAAGUGAAAUCUCAGGGCUUAACCCUGAGGCUGCUUCCGAAACUGCCGUGCUGGAGUGCGAGAGAGGCGAGUGGAAUUGCAGGUGUAGCGGUGAAAUGCGUAGAUAUCUGCAGGAACAUCCGAGGCGAAAGCGGCUCGCUGGAUCGCAACUGACGCUGAGGGACGAAAGCUAGGGGAGCAAACAGGAUUAGAUACCCUGGUAGUCCUAGCCCUAAACGAUCAGGACUGGGCGUGGGCCUCGUACGGGGCUCGUGCCGCAGCUAACGCGUUAAGUCCUGCGCCUGGGGAGUACGGUCGCAAGGCUAGAA